rnacentral:rRNA from 1 species
CAAAAGCGUAUAUUAAAGUUGUUGCAGUUAAAAAGCUCGUAGUUGAACCUUGGGCUUGGCUGGCCGGUCCAUCUUUUUUGAUGCGUACUGGACCCAGCCGAGCCUUUCCUUCUGGCUAGCCUUUUGGCGAACCAGGACUUUUACUUUGAAAAAUUAGAGUGUUCAAAGCAGGCCUUUGCUCGAAUAUAUUAGCAUGGAAUAAUAGAAUAGGACGUUAUGGUUCUAUUUUGUUGGUUUCUAGGACCAUCGUAAUGAUUAAUAGGGACGGUCGGGGGUAUCAGUAUUCAGUUGUCAGAGGUGAAAUUCUUGGAUUUACUGAAGACUAACUACUGCGAAAGCAUUUACCAAGGACGUUUUCAUUAA